rnacentral:rRNA from 1 species
UACGUAGGGGGCGAGCGUUGUCCGGAAUCAUUGGGCGUAAAGCGCGCGCAGGCGGCCGCGAGAGCCCGGCGUGAAAGCCCCCGGCUCAACCGGGGGAGGCCGUCGGGGACCUCGUGGCUGGAGGCCGGCAGGGGUGAGUGGAAUUCCCGGUGUAGUGGUGGAAUGCGUAGAGAUCGGGAGGAACACCAGUGGCGAAGGCGACUACCUGGCCUGUUCUUGACGCUGAGGCGCGAAAGCUAGGGGAGCAAACGGG